rnacentral:rRNA from 1 species
GCCUCGAUUCGCUGCAGUACAUGCAGUUUACCUUCGGGGACGUGGACACACGUGCUGCUUAGGCUGUCGUCAGCUCGUGUCGUGAGAUGUUGGGUUAAAGUCCCGCAACGAGCGCCAACCCUCGCCCGUUAGUUGCCAGCAUUCAGUUGGGCACUCUAAGGGGACUGCCGGUGAUAAGCCGAGAGGAAGGUGGGGAUGACGUCAAGUCCUCAUGGCCCUUACGGGCUGGGCUACACACGUGCUACAAUGGUGGUGACAGUGGGCAGCGAAGGAGCGAUCCCGAGCUAAUCUCCAAAAGCCAUCUCAGUUCGGAUUGCACUCUGCAACUCGAGUGCAUGAAGUUGGAAUCGCUAGUAAUCGCGGAUCAGCACGCCGCGGUGAAUACGUUCCCGGGUCUUGUAC